GACGAACGCUGGCGGCGUGCCUAAUACAUGCAAGUAGAACGCUGAAGAGAGGAGCUUGCUCUUCUUGGAUGAGUUGCGAACGGGUGAGUAACGCGUAGGUAACCUGCCUGGUAGCGGGGGAUAACUAUUGGAAACGAUAGCUAAUACCGCAUAAAAUUGAUUAUUGCAUGAUAAUUAAUUGAAAGAUGCAACUGCAUCACUACCAGAUGGACCUGCGUUGUAUUAGCUAGUUGGUGAGGUAACGGCUCACCAAGGCGACGAUACAUAGCCGACCUGAGAGGGUGAUCGGCCACACUGGGACGGAGACACGGCCCAGACUCCUACGGGAGGCAGCAGUAGGGAAUCUUCGGCAAUGGGGGGAACCCUGACCGAGCAACGCCGCGUGAGUGAAGAAGGUUUUCGGAUCGUAAAGCUCUGUUGUAAGAGAAGAACGGGUGUGAGAGUGGAAAGUUCACACUGUGACGGUAUCUGACCAGAAAGGGACGGCUAACUACGUG
rnacentral:rRNA from 1 species